GACGAACGCUGGCGGCGUGCUUAACACAUGCAAGUCGAGCGAUGAAGCUCCUUCGGGAGUGGAUUAGCGGCGGACGGGUGAGUAACACGUGGGCAACCUGCCUUAUAGAGAGGAAUAGCCAUCCGAAAGGAUGAUUAAUACCUCAUAAUAUUGUAGCUUCGCAUGGAGCAGCAAUCAAAGGAGCAAUCCACUAUAAGAUGGGCCCGCGGCGCAUUAGCUAGUUGGUGAGGUAACGGCUCACCAAGGCGACGAUGCGUAGCCGACCUGAGAGGGUGAUCGGCCACAUUGGGACUGAGACACGGCCCAGACUCCUACGGGAGGCAGCAGUGGGGAAUAUUGCACAAUGGGGGAAACCCUGAUGCAGCAACGCCGCGUGAGUGAUGACGGCCUUCGGGUUGUAAAGCUCUGUCUUCAGGGACGAUAAUGACGGUACCUGAGGAGGAAGCCACGGCUAACUACGUGCCAGCCGCCGCCGUAACAC
rnacentral:rRNA from 1 species